rnacentral:lncRNA from 1 species
UCACAAUAUUGGUACUAUAGUAUUAGCAGUAGUAGAAUAACAUCAGUAAACAGCAGAUGGAUAGAACUGAUUGAAUUAAGGGAUGAAUUUACAGAGAAAAUCAUUUGGGUUGGUGAUCUUCUGGCUCCAGAGUGGCCAUACUAAAGCAGUUAGCACUUGCGUUUCAGCUUUGUAAUUGCAAGGAGGAGUUUACAUUUAAGUUUUCACUUAAAUAAUAAGUAGAGGAAAGAAAGUACCUAUUACGUGAAUUUUGAAAGGGAGAGGGUGAAUGAGCAUCAGAUUUAGCUAUUCCCCUGCUCACUCUACUCAUCCGAGGAGUUGAUGGUGUUGAAUUGCUCGGAGUUGAUCUGGUACAAGUUCAAAAUAUGCAACAAUUAGGUAAACCAGAUAUCCGAAGAUCACAACAAUAUGAAAAAGAGAACACAUCGUUACUGACAGUUACACGAUUUAGGAUCAAUAUCCAUAUCGGAACUUACUUGGAUUUGGCGGACAUGUUGGCGGAUUUUUCCAGCAGACAAAGAAACAAGUACGUACAAAUUAGUACAAGUUAAGAAAGAAGAAUGCUACUUUGUGGCUCAGAGAAAAUGUAGACACAUGGGUAGAACUGAUGAAAUAUUUAGAGAGAAAAUCAUCUGGGUUGGUGAUCUUCUUUCUCCAGACUGGCCAUACUAUACAAGUUACUUGGUACUUUUUCUAUAUCAGUUGCAGCUUUUGAAUUUCAAGGAGGAAUUUACAAGGCUAC